UGAGAACUCACAAUGCUCUUUCUUCCCUGGAAGGAAAGAUGAGAAACAAGGUAAGUGACCAAUCUAUAAACUAUGUCUUUAUUGUGUAUGAUUUUAGUAGAGUCAUUUAAUUAGCAAGUAGUUAGCCCUGCUUCCUUAGCUUGCGUGGCCUCCUCCCCUGCCCUUUCUGUUCCUCCAACACAUUCCCAGUGUUCCCAGGCUUUCACAGUCCAACAGAACCAGUUUUUUCCAUGGCUACAUGAAACCCACCUACAUGAAACCCACCAGUGGAAGUUAACCUCUCUCCCCCAGCCCAGGACAACUUCCCUAAUGCUGUACAUGCUUUUUCAUCCCGCCUCAUCUUCUCAACUGGAUGGUCAGCCCCAUUCCUGGGUCCGUUGCAGUACUCAUGGCCCCAGCCUUGUCUCUAUGGUCGUUCCCACCACCACGCAGAAAAUCCUAGCUGGAGGAGAUAUUUGUAUCAAUUAUGUCGGAUCAAAAACAAGACCACCCCAAAGGUUGCUCCUGUCCCUAUGAUACAUGGAGGGAUCAGGAAAUCAGGUAAUGUGGGAGAAUGAUUAGAGUGUAGAUAAUCCACCUUGGGUUUUACUAGUUCUGGACACUGUGUUAUUACUUCUUUGGCUGGUUCCUUCCUCCCCCCAUCCCUCCAGGCACAGGGUAACUACAUAGCAAUGGAAUUGAUUUUUUUUUUUCAUUCAUUUAAAUGAAAGACUUUCCUUCAAAGUACUUUCUUAUUCUAAUGACAUCCUCAUUAUUCAAAAUGUAUUGAUAUCUCUUCUGGCAUAUUUUUUCAUUGCUGUUGAAUAUUCUUUUGUAUAAUUCUUAAUGGUGGCAAUUUUUCAUCACUUAGGGUGGGUUUGGCCCUGGCUAUUUGGCCAGAUAACAAUAACAAUGUAAAUGUAUGGAGUGUUUUAAAGGUUUGGAAAACUAUGACAUCCUUGAUGUUAAUAGUCAAAAUUAAGAUUGCCAACUAAAGGAGGUGGUAAGUAUUGUUUGGGUGGAAAAUUUGACAUGAUAACAAAGGAAAGAGACUUCUUGUGCAGUUCCAGGAUGGCCCAAAAUCAAGUCCUUGCACCUAGUUUUAGACGAGAUUUGGGCAAUGGUGGUCUCAUUGGUCUGCUAAGGUGAUUGUUUUGAAGGAAUUGAUUCAGAUGCAUUCAUUCCAAUGUGCUAGUUAUUAAAAAUCACAGCCAUUGUGUUAGGGGCUUUCAACAAACAGUCACAAAGUACUGAUGAAGUGUUAGGUACCAGAGUCAUAAAAGCAGGCACAGGGCUCCAAUGUCUGGAUUUGCAAUCUAAUUGGGGGCAAAUGCAGUACUGUAACAGGUGCACGAAUAGAGGUAUAUGGGGCCAAAUGACCCAAAGGAAGGAGCUGUCACAUCUUUGAAGGUUAAUGGGGCAGAAGGGUAUCAGGAAAAACUUCACAGAAUUAGCACCAACCCUCACAACCACCCCCAAGGUUAAAUAUCAGUAUCCCCAUUGUGCAGAUCAGAGAAGUUACAAGGCUAGACAAGUUCACACAGCUAAGAAGAGUGAGAAAGAGUGAGAAUACCAAAGAUAUUUUCCCUCUUCUUGGUUCAUUGGACCUAAUUGCACUCAGGUACUAAAUCCCAGGGUUUGGGGGAGCUGCAGGCUUCAGUGUAGACAUGGCCAAGUCCAAGAAGCACACCACACACAACCAUUCACAAAAGAUGGCAUAGAAAUGGCAUCAAGAAACCCUGGUCACAAAGAUAUGACUCUCUUAAUGGGGUAGACCCCCUGAAGAGCAUGUGCUUUGCCAAGAAGCACAACAAGAAGGGCCUGAAGAAGAUGCAGGCCAACAACACCAAGGCCUUCAAUGCACAAGGCUAUCAAGGCCCUCAUCAAGCUGAAGGAGGUCAAGCCCAAGAUCUCAAAGGGUGGCAGCCACAAGCUCAGUCAACUUGCCUACAUCACUCGAGGCUCUGUCUGGCAAUGUGAGGAUGGAAGUACAGGUGUGACUCCUGGGGCUGGUGUCCUCCUGUGCUAUUUGUACAAAUAAACCUGUGGCAGGAUCUGUCAAACAAAACAAAACAAAACAAAACAAAACAAAACAAGGGUUUGGAUCUGGUUCUCCCUGAAACCCAACACAAUGCUCUUUCCCCCAAGAAUGCCGCCUUCCUCUUCUUGAAUGAUCAGCUUUGUUUUGUUUUAACUCUAUAGGAAUGCUUUAACUGAAACAACGCACCUAGGACAGUCCCUGGCCCAGCAACCAGAGGGAACUUGGCAGGGACUCUGCGUGUUAGUCCCUGUGAGGCCUUGGGAGAUCACUUCACCUUCUAGGUUCCUGUUUCCUCACCUAGAAGAAAGGGUGUGGUAUAGGGACUAAACUCAGGUGAGGGGUCACAACCUGAGUGCGUCUGGAUGUACCAUAAGUAAGCAUAGGGUAGGGAUUUUGGCCUCUGGAAGUGCAAUGAACAGUUGCUUCUCAGUUGUUCCCAUGGAGGAAUGGGGCCAGAGCUUCCAGUUUUUCAAGAAAAUCUCUCAAACUUUAUUUUUAUUUGAAAUCUCCUCAUUUUUAAGUAUCGACAACAAAUUCAACUUAAAACAAACAAAGAAACAAAAACACCAUGCAGGUCAAACAAAGUUGUGUCCAUCACGGGGACCCAUCUGGCCACCAGUGUGCAACAUCUGGAUUCCAUGACAUUUGAAGCGUCUUCUAGCUCUAGAAUUUGGCAAUUAAGUGGAAGUUGCGUGUUUCUUCCUUGUAAAGUGGCAGAUACAAUAGGAAGAAUAAAACCUAGGUGUCUUCUGUCUUUGAGAUAAUGCUGGUGAAGGCUGAGCCUUAUCACAGGUGACAGACAUCCGCUAGCUGAUGGAUUUUUCUCUAUCUUUGCAAAAAGCCUGUAGCCAAGCUCCUCCUUUCAUGUUUAACACGGCCACCCCACCUCAGGCUCCCACCGGGCUGAAGGCGACCAUGUCAGCUGAUGACCUUUGUCAUCCCCCAGUGCCUUCAGGUAUGUAAAUGGGGAGAUUUACCUUCCAAACUGGGCAGAUAAGAUAUACUGUCACAAAGCAGAUAUGUGCAGUAAAGUCUCAGUUCUAGAGGAAGGUGAUGUUCUGGAAAUAUUUUGUAAAAAAAAAAAAAAAAAUGUAAGUAUGAGAAGGGUCAUCAGAUAAUAUCAGCUUUUACAGAUUGGGGCUGCUCAGAAAGGAGUCUAUAAAACACUCUUUACAGAGACUCAAAGGAGUAUUGAUUUUUUAGGAGCAGAAGGGGUCAAAAUUACAUCCCUUGCACAACGGCUGCCUCUGCUCCUCCAUCCGGACCUUUUAAACAAAGAACAAAGUCAGGAAAAGGCAGAGGGAUAGAGCUAGAAAGAGGGACAAAGAGGAAGGCAUUGUCUGGUCCCUAAAAACCUUCCCCAGGCCACAGCACUGAGGCAGGGUGAGUCUCUUCAGGAAAACCGGAGCCUGGUUUCAUGUUGUGACUGCUGCAGUUGACAGCCACCUCUGGGGACAACGCUUUGUGUCUGUAGAAAGACAGUGGGAAAGGUCACAGCAGGGCAGGCAGUGGUCUGAUGAGACUGGCAGCCAAAGAUUUCUCAGGUUGGUUCACCUGCUCCUGCAAGUACAUAAAAUACCCAGAAGUCACCAGACAUGUUCAUCCUCUGGCAGCAUCAUGAUGAAACUGGCAUUGUAGGAUCCUGAUGGCCUUUAUGACUGGAAUAUGUAUGCCUUUUGAUCCAGAAGGAUAGGCACAUAGAAGGGAGAAAAGGGUCAUUCUGUCAUGCCAUUGCAAAAGGUGAUCCAGCACCAGUGUUCACAGGGUUGGCCUGUGAGAGGCCCCUGGCCUGAGGGGCAGGAGAAGACUUCUUUAGGAAGGAAGCAGGAUUUAUAAAUCAGAAGAAGACCUUUUUUCCUCGGGGUUGCAGCCAGGAAGAUAUUAGCAUGAGUGGUUAAACAAAGAAGACUGGGGUUAGCAACAAAACUGGAGAAGCAUGAUACCUUAAUUCUUGCUACUCACUGGAAGUGAGGAGAUUCUAUUCUUAGCACUUUCUCCCUUCCACGUCUGACCAGUUGAUAACGAGACCCAAUCUGCCUAGAAAAGGAUCAAAAUAUUAGCCUCUUCACCAAAAGUGUAAGGCUGGUUGGGAGAGCCCUGAAGGGCUUCCUUCCUGCCUCCCAAAUUGGAAGUGACAUUCCCAGAACUGGGUCAAGAUCCUGGGAAAGUGGAAGAGGAAACAUGCUGUAGUUGCGGGUUUGGGGAAGCCAAGAAAAAUGGGUUGCAUUUCACUGGGGUGAUCUUGCUCCUGGAAGAUGUGGCUGGACAGAUAUCAGGCUCCAACUGAUCCCAUCAACAAGUUCUGAAGACGUAGAGAUGAGACCAAAAGAGUUCCCUCUAAUACUGCUCCACAACAUGAAAACUUGAGGGAGAAGAAGAUAAAUGUUUCCCCACCCUUCACAUGCAAGCUAUGGAGCAGAGCUGGGCCCCUGCACAGGUCAGGGCCAACUCAAAAGGCACUGAGCUAUAAAGUUAGAUACCAGCUGAAAACAAAGCAGGUUCAGUAGGCCAGUCACUCAUGCUGCCUACUGACAAGUGAAGUUAGCCAACCUGACCCUGACAAGCAAAGGGAGCCAUGAGAAUUUAGGUCUCAGGUGCUAGAAAAGAAACCCAGGAGAGGAAAGAUACAAAAGACAAGCGGAAGGGAUGGCUGCAGUGGCGCAAAAACCUUCAGCCCUAGCAGAGGUUUCUUUUGAAAGCCCACAGUUUGACCCUUACAAGUGUCUUGGUGGUUCUUUUUCCAAAGACUGAGUCUCCAAGCUGCAUAUCUGGACACGGACCAGAGUGUAGAUAUGAGGGAGCCCAGACGUGAAAGACCAGCCUGCGGUGGCCAAUGACCAGGGAAGCCGUAAGCAUAGAAAGACACGAGCAACAAGGAAGGAGGUAGGAAGAUGCAUGGGGAUCACAGACUGUGGGAAGAAUGGGUUGGGACCAGGUGAGAAACCUCUAGAACUGAGAAUAGUGAGCUUCAUGUGGUGGCUGUAGGGGAAAAAUUCUCACCUGGAUAACAACUUCCCACACACUGAGCUUCUAAGAAUUUCCAGCUAAGAAAUAGACUGGACAUCAGGGUGAGGUCUUCGGGGCUUGAAGUAGACAAGAUCUGACCAAGAUGGCAGCCUGGAAGUGCCGAGUACCAAGGAAAUGCUCUGGCUCGGGUGGCCUGGAGGCAGAUGAGACCUCACAUUAAGGAGCCAGUGGCCCUCCAUUCCCGUUGUCUAAUUUUGUGAGUGUGCAGAUUCACCUCAGUCUGAACAUUAAGGAACACUGGGGAAUGUCCAUGAUGACAGAUCAUUUCAGGGAUGGAUAAGAUUCAGGGGGAAGCUGGGACUUUUCUUGGCGGAGGUAAGAAGCUUCUAUACGACAGCAAGUUCAAUUCACUCAUGUUUCUCAAUGUUGUACAAUCUCAAUCAGUCAAAUCUCCUUGCUAAGACCCUCUCUGUGUACUCUUCCCACCCCUCCCCUAACAACCCUUCAAGGCCCAAGCCUAAACCUGAACUAAAGUAUUUAUAAAAAAGCAAUAAGCAAAGUUCAACACUUAAGGUUACAUUUACACUUCCAUUACCAACCAACAACAGUCUUUCAUUGAUUAAGUUCUCCUUGUUUGGCCACCAGUCAUUGAUGGCAGUCACUGAAAGACUGAGGGCCCCUUGUCCAUGGAGUGACUCCGGGUUGCUCAGAUCUUACACUGGUGCCCACACUCAGGUCAGCGUUUUCUGAACAACUCUACUCUUAGGAAAGCUCAAUGCUUACUUCAGGUAGUAAAUGAUUACCACAAGAACACCACAGACAGAACCCUAAGAAAACAUUUCACCAAUGGCCCUGCUGGCUUACAGGGAUUAGUCUAAUCUUUCCCACCAGCAAUUCUGUCUCCUCUGUCUGGGGCUCCUCAGUCAGCCCAUGUUCCUGAGCAAACAUUGGCCACAGGAAGGAAGGAAGCAUAUAGGGACUCAGUUGGGUUUGGAAAUUGAACAUGGUGAAGACAUGUUUAUUCUGCAAAGACAUGUUUAUCCCAUUCUUUGUAAAAAAAAAAAAAAAAGGGGGGGGGGGGGGAAUGGGAAAUGGGUCUUUACCCUUUUUUGAAACCCAAAACCUCACCUGGGUUUAUCCACUCAACAACGGAGUGAGACCCUACAGAAGAAGAGGACUUCCUAAUGUCAUGCAGCUGGGACAAGUGUCCAGGUUGGAUUCCUCAGUCAGCUCUUCAGGUCUAUUUUCACCAUACCACAUGCUCUUGCAAAAGAGAAGCUGGCAACAGAGUGUGCCAACCCCUUUGAAAGUAACAGUGCCUAAAACCAACGCCUUACAUAGCUCAGCAAAGAAAAGCCUAGGAGGAGAGGCAAACGUUACCCUGGAUCUGAGGAUACUGAAUAUUUUCUAAAACGUACAUAGGUUCAUGGGUUUCUCCCUCAGCUUUGAAUGACCCAGUGGUCCGUUUUAUAAACAAAGGUUCAGAGAAGUUAAAAGACUUGCCCAAGGUCACCAGGAUAACCCCCAGGUCACCGCUCUCUGCUACACAGUUUUCCCACAACUCAUUAAUUCAUUUAAUAGCAUGAACUUCUGCUUCUUGCCACCUUUAAAAAAGAUUUAUGUAGGAUGUUUUUUUUUAAAAAACGGUCCCCAGUAAUCACUUCUAGAUUAUCCUUCCAAUAUAUUCUCACAUCUGGGACACAAUCUGUGUACAAGACUAUGCACUGUAGCAUUUUUUAAUGAUUGGAAACAACCUAACUCUCCAUCAAUAGGGAAUCUUCUUCUAAAUUAUCUGGUGGAGUACUAUGCAGUUAUUAAAAAGAAGCUUAGGAAAAAGAAGUUAUUAAAAAUGAAGCAGCUCUACUGAAGGUUGUGUGCUCUUACAAAAUGGUUGUGAGAUACAAUGUUAAGUGGAAAAGUAAGAUAUAAGACCGUGUGUGAGGCAUGCUGUCUUUUUGCGAAGUGUGUGUGUGUGUGUGUGUGUGUGUGUGUGUAUCUUCGCCUAUGCAGAAUAAUUCUGGAAGAAUGGUUAGGAAAUUGGAAAUAGUGGUUGCCUUCUGGGGGCUGAUGUCUAACACACACAGUAGGUGCUCAAUGAAUACCUGUCAUUGGAGGCUCCACUCUGGCCAAGCGUUGCUUAUGACCAAGCAUGAAAUAAAAGUUUAUGUAUCCAAUUAUUCUUAAUCCCCAAAGUUGACACCGGGGCCCAGGCCAGAAUUCCCAGUCUUUAUGGAGGGAAAGUCCAUCCACAGCAAACAUCUUUGCAGCCUGAUUCGGCCAGGUGGGUUACGGCAAGCCACAGGAAGAGCCGCCUCGGCUCUUACUUCAAAAUGUCAGGAGAAGAAACUCACCAGCCACUUAGCGUCCCACAGGAGUACUUUAAAAUGUUUCCUAGACACCAUCUACCAGGAAGUAAUAUUCUUCUCAAUAAAAAAUAAAUGUAAAAGUGGCCCAGACAAAAACCUCAGUAAAAACUCAGACUCCUUCCUCAAAAUCACAGGAGAGAGCCAAAAUCUAAAAUGCCUUCUUUUCCUUGUUAAUUUUUAAUUUUUUUUUUUAAUCAAAGAAGUAUAGUGCCUCAUACUGGCAAAACCACUCCCUUCUGAGGCCACAGCUGGACGGCUCAUCCUCCCGCAUCAUCCGCUUGCCCUGAAGCUGACUGGCUUGGACUCCAACUCCGGGGUCUGUUUUCCAAAAUGGCAGCAAGGUACGAACUGAAUAAACUAAAUAUACUAGUAGUGGACACAUGGUAAGAACCCAGUGAGAUAGCUUUUCCAAGAGUUGAAUCUUACUAAAAUCAAAUGAACAACAAAGACUUUAAAACAAACAUCAUGACAAAUAGUACCUUUAUGGCACUCACUAGGUUCCGGAUGCCACUGUGGGCACUUUACCAAAACUAACAUGAUCUUCCUGACAACCCAAGGAGGUCAGUAUUAGGAUUGUCUUCCCUUCACAGAUGAGGAAACUGAGGCUAGUUAACUUUCCCCAGGUGUACAUUUAAUAAGCAAUGGUGCCAGAAUUCCAGCCCAGAGUCUGGCUCUAGAAUCGUGCUCCCACCCACAUGCUGGUGACCAGAGGGAGGUAAGGCGCUGAGACCAGCCAAUAAAGAGAUGGUUUAAAGUCCAGGCAGUACAGAAAUCAGAGGUGAUGUGAACCCCCUCCUGCUCCAAACACACCAAAGUCCUGGAUAAAAUACAGACAGAAAUGUUGUAAAUUUUGAGACACGUCGAAAAGAAAGAAAUAAAACUCCCCAGGUGUCAGAGGCAUGGACUAUAAAAUGGAGCCUCCAAGCACUGGAGAGCCAGGGGGAUGUAGGUCCUGGACGUGGGUGCUGGUGGCCAGCGCACAAACAGCACACACAGUGUGGAGCCCAAGUUUGCAGAUGGGAAACCCUGCCUGUAACAAGCCGUCGGAGGACCUGCCCCCUCCGGGAGGAGAAGAUUGGAAAAUCUUUCCCGAUGGUUCAGGGAAAUGGCCAAGAGAUGUAUCAGGUGCCUGGGCACCAGAGGAGAAAUGUCUCCCGUGUGAAGUUGAAAUCCCAAAACUGAGCCUCCCACAGAGGUGAAGUCUGAAUGUGAGCUACCGGUGGGAGGCUGGAGCUCCAGGCUGAGGAAUUCUUAUGAAAUCGUUCACAAACCAGGGAGCCCUGGAUACUCCCCGAAGAAGCAAAUGCAGACCCCUUAGGGCGACAGGGCUCCGACCGAGAAGACUGACCACCACGGAAGAGAAGUCAAAGCAAAGCAAAAAGCCUUUGGAAGACAGGCGGUCAGCCUGCAGCUCGCAGAAGGGCUCCUUCCCUGCGUUAUUUUUCUUCAGCACACUCAUGUGCUGGGUUUUCAAUUGCCAACACCCUCCCCCCACCCCCUCUGUCACUGGAAUUUAAGCUCCAGUGUUGAGAUUGUGUUGUUUCAUUGCUCGAUCCCCAAUGCCUACAAUAGCGGCUACUACAUCCUAGGCAUUCAAUGAUUUUUUUAUUGGACAUUGCUAAAACCAGGAAUGCAUGUUGACUAUGGCUAUGUGUGCAGAUAGCGCAUGAAACCUGAGUGGCGUGGAAUUUAGCAAUGUCAGGAGAGAGGGUCCCUCAGGGCAGAGAGAAGGCAAAGGCUGGGAAUAGUUGGUGAUGCUUCAUCCAACUCUACCCAUAGCAGAUUAUUUCUUUAAAAAAGCGAUCUGAAGGGGUGGCUGGGUGGCUAAGUUGGUUGAGCGUCUGUCCAACUUGGGCUCAGGUCACCAUCUCACCAUUCAUGAGCUCGAGCCCUGCAUCGUCUCUGCCGUCAGCACAGAGCCUGCUUCUAAUCCUCUGUCACCAUCUCUCUCUGCGUGCCCCCCUCUCUCUCAAAAAUAAAAUAAGCAUAAUAAAAUAAAAUAAAAUGAAUGACUAAAGAUUUUUUUUUUAAUUAAAAAGUAAAAAGUCAUCUGAAGCCUUAUGGCAAAACAUUAACAUUUGUUACAUCUGGAUGGUGGGCACUGUAUUCUCUGUGCUUUUCUGUGUGUUUGGAGUAUUUCCUAACUUAAAACAAAAAUAACUGGAGGAAGGUAUUUGGGGAAUGAAGGGAUGCCUCCAAGCACCCCAUGGGGCCUUCAGGCUGUGCCGAUCCUACAUCUGAAUUCAGACCACAGGACUGAUUAAGUCCAAGAGCCCCGGGCAGGAGGCCUAGUCUCAGCAUUCAGAUCUUUUGGUUGCAGAGAUGAGCAGCAGAGGGGACCCAGUCUCAGAGAAAGCAACCGCCCCAGGAAAACCCCCCUGGGAUGAAGACUGGCUCAGCAGAGGUGGGACUGGGGAGAAGGUUGUUUCACACCUACUUCUGCAUGUAUUUAAAAAAAAAAAAAAAAAAGGACUACUCACAGGUCUCUCUGCAAAACCACAGGAAUUUGAUUAACGACACCAGCUACCAAUGUAUUUUGCAAGGUUAGGGAUUUCCGUCAGGUCUGAGACCGAGUUGGCCCCAGGAUCUGUUCCAUCCAGAGAAGCCAGGGCCCUGGAUCCCUCCUCCCUGUGGAGACUGGCCCCUUGCAAGCCUGGGAAAGCACACCCCCUACCGGGUACCUUCUAAGGCCUGGUCACCCCUGGGGUGAGGGACCAUGACUGGCUUGCCAGCGGGCCACCUGACCGGUGCUCAAGCCCCACACACUAGCUCAAGUGCUCAAUCAGAAGCAGCUAGAAGCCAAAGCCCUCUGGGGGUAUGAAUGUCCCCCCCACCCCCACUCAAAUGGAGCCCAUCAGUCCUGUUGAUCUUUCUGGGCCUUAAUGAAUUAUUGUAUUUGUUUUGCAAAUGAUCACUUGCCUGCUGGUUCUGCAAGCCAAGAAAACCCUUGCUAAGUGUUUCUGUCCCUCAAGCACCUGGCAAGGUAGUCUAGGAGUCUGAGUGACUCAGUAAGAAGUAGCCAAUAGAAACACACAACGCAAGCCACACACGUCAGCCACGAACGCAAUUUUAGUUUUUCUAGUGGACACAUUAAUAAAAGUACCAAAAAAGCAAGUGACAUUAAUGUUUUUAAUUAAUAGAUUUUAUUUUUGGGAGCAGUUUUAGAUUUACGGAAAAAUUAAGCAGUAAUCCAGGGCUCCCAUAUAUCUUUACCACCACCACACGCCCCACCCUCCCACUACACACACACAGAUUUCCCCUACAUUUUGCAGUAGUGUGGAACAUUUGUUACACUCGAUGAGCCAAUGUUGAUGUAUUAUUAACACCCAUGGUUUACAUUAGGGUUCACUCUUUGCGUUGUAUAGAGAACAGAGCACAUAGGUUUUGACAAAUGUAUAAAUGAUUAGAUCACCUUCAUAAUAUCAUACAGAAUAGUUUACUGACCCAAAAAUUCUCCUGUGUUCCACCCAUUCACCCCUUCCUCCCUCUCCCUGACUCCAUCCCCACUCACCUUUUUAAUGUUCCCAUAGAUUGGCUUUUUCCAGAUAUCACUGAAAUCUUACAGUUAUGUAGUUUCUCAGUUUAGCUUCUUUCACUUGGUAAUAUGCAUUUAAGCCUCCUCCGUGUCUUUUCAUGGCUUGAUAGCUCACUUCUUUUUAGCAUUGAAUAAUAUUCCAUUGUAUGUAAGGACAUCUUGGUUGUGAAAUUAAUUUAAGAGUAUAUUUUAUUUAACUGAAUAUAUCUAACAUACCAUUUCAAUAAGUAAUCCAUAGUGUAAAGUGAUUCAUGGAUAUUUUAUAUUUGCUUUCAUACCAAGUCUUCAAAACCCAGUGUGCAUUUUAUAUUUACGGCACAUCUCAAUCUGGUUAGCCACCUUUCAAGGGCUCGGAGCCAUGGGUGGCUAAGUGACUCCUGUAUUAGACAACACAGAUCUAAAGAAAGAGAAAUAUAGCCCCAACCUUGGGAGGUUUAUAAUUUCAUUAGACGAAAAAGAACAUUCCUUCUUCUAAGCCCCCAGUGACUUGAGAAUUGCAUGCAACCCUCUCAGACAGACACAAAUAUGUUUGAAAUUUUGCUAAUUUCUUGCUUGGACUUUGUUUCACCAUUUUCUAUGGAAAAGAGUUUUUAUGAUAGUUUUUUUAUGGUAGGCCCCCCCCACUCACGCCCCCCCCCCCCCCCCGCCAUUUGAACCACAUCUUAGGUAGCUGCUUGCAUGAUAUAGGAACAACCAAGCAAGUACAAGUAAUAUCUCCCCCCACCCCAGCACCCUGGGAAGUUUCCACAUUUCUCUUAUAGAUUUUUCACAUUUUUUUAAAUUUUUUUUCAACGUUUAUUUAUUUUUGGGACAGAGAGAGACAGAGCAUGAACGGGGGAGGGGCAGAGAGAGAGGGAGACACAGAAUCGGAAGCAGGCUCCAGGCUCCGAGCCGUCAGCCCAGAGCCCGACGCGGGGCUCGAACUCACGAACCGCGAGAUAGUGACCUGGCUGAAGUCGGACGCUUAACCGACUGCGCCACCCAGGUGCCCCUAGAUUUUUCACAUUUAAAGUUGUUUUAGUCAACAGGUACUAACUGAAUAUCCAAUGCAACAGUUUUCAAAGUAUGGCUCCAGACCCAUGGGAUGCUUUCCAGGGUCCACAGUGGCAAAACUAUUUGCUUAGUAUUACUAGACUUUAUCUGCCUUUCUCAUUCUCUUUCUCUCUUGAGUAGAGAGCACAGUAGAGUUUUGCAGAGAAUCCACGUUGGGGGUUGAUGCAAGAUCGAAUACAGAAGCAGAUGUGGGAAUCUGGCUCUUCGCUAUCACACAACAUACCGAAGAGAUUUACAAAAAUGUAAAGCAGCGCCAGGCUUCUCACUAAAUUUAAAUCAAAUCACUCCUCUUGCUACACUUCUUUGUAUCAGAAAAUAUAGUUAUUUUUCAUAAAAAUAUAGUUUAUGUUAAUAGGUUCUAAAUUAUUGUUCUAAAUAAAUUAAUUCAUCGUUUCAAUUUUUCUUCAUUUUAGUUUCUAAUAUGUUACAUAAAUCAACCUCAAAAAAAAAAAAAAAAAACCAAACAACUCUUUGGAGUCCUCAAUACUUUUAAGAAUGUGAAAGUCGGGGCGCCUGGGUGGCUCAGUCGGUUGAGCGUCCGACUUCAGCCCAGGUCACGAUCUCGCGGUCCGUGGGUUCGAGCCCCACGUCGGGCUCUGUGCUGACAGCUCGGAGCCUGAAGCCUGUUUCAGAUUCUGUGUCUCCCUCUCUCUCUGACCCUCCCCUGUUCAUGCUCUGUCUCUCUCUGUCUCAAAAAUAAAUAAACAUUAAAAAAAAAUUAAAAAAAAAAUGUGAAAGUCUUCUGAGACCAACAAGUUUGAGAAGCUCUGUUCUAGUGCAUACUAAGCUUGAGGAAACCGAGAUAAGUGAACUUGUAACUCAAUGAGGCAAACCAUCCAAGAGGCCCACCACCCAUAGCUCUUUCCCCCUCUAUGUGGCAUGCUAUGAUUCUGUAUGGGGGCCACUCACAUAUAGGUAACAUGAAAGGAAGGUGUCCUGCGUCAAGAGCCUGAUCACUGAGAGAUCAGGUCAUUUACUCGAUAUUUUACUCGAUUCAAAGUAAAAUCAGGAUAUUCAAACCAGGAUAUUUUACUCGAUUCAAAAGGAACAUGCAGUUCGUGAUUAUGCUGUCACAGUCAUACUGAGACAGUCAUAGGCAGAUCAGUAUCUACCGUAACCCUACAGAAAAGUUUAUUUGUGCUCGUGAAAAUAACUGGAAAUACAGGUUGGGAACAUCUCUGUGGGCGGGAGAAAGACAUUUGGCUGCUAUACAUUAUGUGGGGGAGGAUCCUGAGGACUUAGGGGAGGGAUGGCUGGGAUGAGGCCCAGAGAGGGGAGUUCUAGCCAAAGAGUGAGUGGAGGCAAGAAAGAAGUAGGACAUCCCCUUAGCUGGGCCUGACAUCCUUGGGGUCAGGCUCUCCUGAGUCCUGGUACAGCCAGGCCCUUUCCAGCUAAUUGUCCUUUACUAACAAUUGAAAAAAGAACAAACAAAAAUGCCUCUGGGUUACACAGUGGAAGGAUGUUGGACAAAGGCGACUAAUUUUAAGAAUUUUUGUAGGUACCAGGUGAACAGAAAAGGACCCCCUCUUCAUGUGGACUCGACCGCCUCAUCACCCUCCAAGAGGAGGAGGGUAAGUCUAUCCCAUUGAUUGGGCUGUCAUUUUAUUUCAUUUCUUUGCAAGCUUCUAAGUUAACUUCAAAGAUGCCCUGGCAAGUGGAGUUUUAGAAAUGUCACGUAUUUUUAUUGUCCUGAAGUGAGCAGGAGCGAGUGGUUGUCAAAUGGAGAAAUAAGAAGCACCGUUUCCAGAUUUGUCCCAGGAAGUUGACAGCUUUUGACAAAGAAUACAGAUGAUGCCACCUCCCAUCAGCUGAGUACCAUAUGCCUCAGCAUCAUCCGAACCAGGCAUGGAAAUGAGCUCAGAGCCCAGCUGUUUGCAGCUGACCAACUGCAUUUGCUCUGUUCCCAGAGGUGCAAUGUCUCGGGAGGGCCCAGGGACAGAUCGACACCGCAUCUCAAGUUUUGGCCAGCUCUAAACUGCCGGCCAGGAGACCUGGGAUCCAAGCCCAUCUCAGUCACUGGUUGGCUGUGGGUCUUGCCUUUUAAUUUACAUUUUUUGCAUCAGACAAUUGUAGAUAAUAGUCUCUCUAGGAUCUGGUGAUGAUUACAGGUGAGUUUGUCGAAGUGUUUGGAAGCUAUCGAUAAUGUAAGGCAGUACUGUGUGUAUUACAUACAAAAUAAACCCUGCGGCAGAGAUUUCCUAAAAGCCAGCAGAAUGUCGAAUAAUGAUUUGGUCACUAUUUAGGAAACGAUCUCCAUUCUUUUAAUGGCCACAGGAGAUUAAAAAAGAAGGAAGAGAGGGAGGAAGGGAAGGCGGAGGAAGAGUGUGAAGAUAAAAUUAGGCAGACAAGAUUGGUUCCCUCAACUCGGAAUUCAAUCCUGUCAUCUCCUUGACAACUGGCCCUGCCGAGGGACAGGGGGCAGAGGUCAGGUCCCAGGGGUCCACCUGCCUCAGCAGAAAUCCAAGCCUGGGGCCUGCCUGGUCCGGCAAACUGGAAAACCUGAAGUGGGAAGAUCCUGGCCAGCCUGCUUGCGGCCGCCUCCCCCUCGUCUGACUGUGGGAAGAGCCGGAUGCACAGAGCUACUGCCUCCUGGGGGCCCUGGGCUGGGAGGAGGCAUCCACAUGCGAGCCUGUACAGGCCCCGCUAAGAUUAUCAGGAAAUUCUGUCCUGGACUCGGAGUCUAGAGAACCUUCCCCGAGCUCUGUCCUCUGAGAAACAAUGGCAUCGGUGCCCUCUCCCCUUCCGCACCAGUCAGAGAAAUGAUGCUACGCAGCCCCGGCAGUGCUAUGACCAGUGGCAGCUCCUGUGACCCUCCCCACUCUGGGCCUGGUCUCCGGUGGGCAGGGCUGGGUCUCAAGGUGACCGUCCAGCCCCGGUCUGGGCAGCUGUGUAUAAGGUUCCUCAGGCUGGCGAGCAGUGUUCAGAGCCACAGUUAGACCGGAGCGUCAUCAUUGCUCCCCUCUCUGCAGCAUCCAAUUUCCUUUUUAUUCUGAUUAAAUCAUCUGGAGUAUGCUUACAUUACAGAGUCAACUUCAAAGUUUGCAGGAACUUUUAAGGAAGAACCUCAAAGAAACUUCGCACUUGCUAGGCCGUAUGGCUUGAUCCCAGAACGCACAAGCUCGCUCCCUGCUGCCUUUAGGAUGUUUUGUGGGAAAAAAUGUGAAAAUGGCAGGUCUGAUGUGUUGCCUUUCUCGUGAAUACUUGCUUUUUAAGAGGACUGCAGGGAGAAGAGCACAUAAACCUCCCUGGAAUGAAAUUAGAGAGAAAUAAGUGAAAAUGAUGGUUGAACCUUAGAUACUGGAGAUCACGCAGUGCCGGGAGUAGCAGGAAUUUGGGGCCCCUCUACUCAUGCCAUGCAGACAAAUAAUAAUGAAAUAGUAGCUACGAUUUGUUGGGCACCUGCCAGACAGAUACAGCAUCUGCUGAUAGGUAUCGUCAUCCCACCUUAUCAGUGACAAAACUGACCCUCAGAGCCAUUAAGCCACCCACCCAGCAGGUAAGAUUUGCAUUCAGGUUGCCAGGGCCCUGUUCUCCCUCUACCACAAAGGGGCCCUUCUCAGGAGUGAGACCUGGCUGUCGACAGAAGACUCACCCAGAAAAAGAGUGACAAGACAAAUCAGCCUCUGUCCCCGAGAGCCCCCAGGUGAGAAAUGGCCCUUUGAGACAGGAACUCCAGGGCAAAUCAGGAAGGUCAGGUGGGCGAAGCCCACAGGAAGCUAAUCCCCAGUGAGGGCGGGGUCUGGACUGGCGUCCCUAAGUGAAUUCUCUUGCUUUUGUGGCUUCCCACUAACCUGCUUACUGUCAACAGAGUGGCCGCUCCUAUUUGUUAAGGUCCAGAAACAGGCCAUGAUUAGGUUUCCGGCCAGUCAUAUACAUUAUACCUGGAUUAUAUCUGGGUUAAUCGUCCAAAGCUGGGUAAACGUUCUUCCUCUGUGAUGGGCCCUGUGCCCUCCGAAGGCUGAACCCGUCUUUCCGACAGACUUGGCCCGGGUGAGUUGUAAGGGGCAGGGGGACUUCUGUCGGACACCUAGUCCAUGGCACCAGAGAGAACGGGCAGUAAUUAGAAGAACAGCCCAGCAAUUGCACCUUUCUAAAACAACUGCCUGGACAAACUAGCCUUUUGGAAAAACAAAUGGCAGGAAAAAUAAAGAGGGUGAUGUCCUGGCACCGGGCUCCCCUGAGUGGAAGCCCCCGGACCCUCACUGUCCUGACUCUACCAGGCUGAAUGUACUGUCCCACCCUGUGUCUCUUCCAAGAGCCAGUUACAAACCUUCCAAAUCUCUCUUGAGUCUCAUUACUAUGCAGACCAAUUUUUCAUUCAUCUGGAAUCCACUAUAGCAUUUUAAUGUGGAAAGCCUGCUACUCCAUUUCUCUCCCCUGAAGAAAAAUGGCUUAAUUUCUCCAGCUGAUAGAUUUUUUUUCUGAUCACUCAGACAGUAGAAAAAGACCCUGGAAAACCAGCUGUUGGACUAUCCACAGACAUUUUAUGAUGGCCAUAAACAGGGCUGUGGCAGGGUGACAAACCAGGCAGCAUCCUGAUCGGUGGCCUCAAUACUGCUAUUAUCAACCUCCUGCAAAAAUGAUGGUUAGAUAGAUAAAUAGGUGGAUAGAUGAGAGAUGAGAGACAGAGAACUAGAUGAUAGGUAGGUGGAUGAUAGAUAGAUGAUAGACGGAUAGAUAGGGAAAGAGAUGAUAGGUGGGUGGAUGGAUGGAUGGAUGGAUGGGUGGAUGGAUAAACCAUAAUAGAAGCUGUGGCUUCUCCACCAUAUUUGAAGAAUAUAAUCCCUCCCUAUAUUUCUCCCUGCAGACAUGUGAGACCUUCUGAUACAAAAUCAGUCCAGACUCCCCUACCUACCCACCCACCCCCAAAUUGAGACAGAUUUCACCAACAGGGGAAAAAUCUAUUUAGGAAGGAAAUUAGAGACAAAAUUGGGGUUAAUCAUUUUAGCUAUUUUCUACCGUUCAACCCACAAGGCUCAGAUGAAUGAAAUCAGUCCAUCCUGUCUAGGGUUCUUCCUCUGAGGCUGAAGAUGGCCUGGUCUGGCCUGGGGCAGAAGGGGGCCAUGGGCAGAGGAAGGCCAGGCCCACUUCUGGAUGAAAGGACUGGAAUUUCGUUAGAAGAAUGUGGUAGUGGUAGCUCAAGGCAUAGACGCUGGAGCCCAACCACUUGUGUUCAAAUCUCAGAUCUGCUACACACUGACUUUGUAAGUUGAGCAAGUUGCUUAACUUCUCUGUGCCUCAGUUCCCCCACUGAUAAGAUGGGGGAGAAUAACAGUACGUACCUCAUACAGUUGUGAGGAUUUAGUGGGUUAAUAUGCAUAAAGUGCUUAAAGUAGAGGUCGGCAUGUAUGGGGGGUAAGUUAAACCUCCUGCCUAGACACCCUUGAUAAAGAGCAUGUUCACUACACAAAAGAUGAGACUUUAACCCCAACAAGAAGAUAAUCAAAUUUAAUUAACUCAGCCUUAGGUUCAAGCUGAAGGUUGCACUUAAGUAUUUCCCUUUCCCCUUAUACUGUUUAUUGAUCUUGCCUAAGAUCCAAAGCAGCACUCAUUCAAAGCAAUAGCACAAACUGGGCCAGGACUCUGAAUAUAGGGGAAGUGAAUUCUAUGUCUCAGGGCCCUAGGCCAAGCCCUCAUUCCAAAGGCUUGUACCUCCAAGGCCAAAUUCUCUACCUUCAGCUGCCGUGGCCGUGGAAGAGCCACUGGGCAGGUCGCUGACCAUCAGAACCCCAGAGUUGUUGAACAGCCGGCUCUCCCUGCUGGCUUGCAGUCACGAUGACCUGGGACAUUUUGUCUUUGGAGAACAGGAUGUAAAACUAGCAUGUGUCAGUAUGAUGGAGUACGAUGUUGCCAUAAAAAAUGAUAAGCAUGUGGGUUGUGUCAAUAUAUGGAAAUGAGUAUGUGAAAUAAUGUUAAAUGGAAACAAGCAGAACACCCAGUAGUUGGCCCACACUAUUAUAACUCAUCAAUAAUUACAUCUGCACACUCAUAAGCAAGGGCUAGAUGCAAAUUUAGAGUGGUAUAAAUAGAGGAUUAUUUACUGGAAUUUCUUUUUCUUCCAUAGAAUCCUAUGUAUUUUUUAUCUUUUUAAUGAGAAGAACAGGAAGUUUGGACUCAGACCAACUGGAGGAGCAUUUAGCUGCUGACACAGUCGCUUAGACAGGAAGGGACAUUUGCAGUGGUUGAAAAUAUGCAUCUGAAAACAGAGUUUUUUGAGCUAUGUAGACCCUGCCUCUGCCUGACCGGCUGCAGCCUCAGGCUGGGUGGGGACUUAAGCAUCAUUCUCCCAGGUGGACUGAGAAUCAAGCCCAGGAACGGAGAAUCCAGAAGAGGCUUCAAAUGGACACAGGAUUUCCUCUUUACUAAUUUCACACUUUGCCUUAAAGAAGAGUGAUCACAUUGUCCUCAUUUGUCCAGGCACAGCCCUGGUUGUGAUACCAUUGUCCUAGUAUAAUUAUUAAUAACGUGCCCUUUUAUCUCAAAAGUAUCCCUGUCCAGAUAAUAAAGUAU
rnacentral:lncRNA from 1 species